rnacentral:misc_RNA from 1 species
CAGAGUUCAUGCCCUCACGGGUAGAUCUCCCACCCUUGUGUAUUUUAUACCUUUGUUGCUUUGGCAGGCCGCCUGGGCUCGCGCCUGGCCACCGGCUCCCGGGCUGGUGCGUGCCUGCCAGAGGAUCUCCAAACUCUAGUUAUCAGUGUUGUCUGAGUAUUAUACAAUCGUUA